rnacentral:rRNA from 1 species
UGGGGAAUAUUGGACAAUGGGCGGAAGCCUGAUCCAGCCAUGCCGCGUGUGUGAAGAAGGCCUUUUGGUUGUAAAGCACUUUAAGCGAGGAGGAGGCUACUUGGAUUAAUACUCUAGGAUAGUGGACGUUACUCGCAGAAUAAGCACCGGCUAACUCUGUGCCAGCAGCCGCGGUAAUACAGAGGGUGCGAGCGUUAAUCGGAUUUACUGGGCGUAAAGCGUGCGUAGGCGGCUUCUUAAGUCGGAUGUGAAAUCCCUGAGCUUAACUUAGGAAUUGCAUUCGAUACUGGGAAGCUAGAGUAUGGGAGAGGAUGGUAGAAUUCCAGGUGUAGCGGUGAAAUGCGUAGAGAUCUGGAGGAAGACCGAUGGCGAAGGCAGCCAUCUGGCCUAAUACUGACGCUGAGGUACGAAAGCAUGGGGAGCAAACAGG